GGGGAAUUUUGGACAAUGGGCGCAAGCCUGAUCCAGCAAUGCCGCGUGCAGGAUGAAGGCCUUCGGGUUGUAAACUGCUUUUGUACGGAACGAAAAGCUUCGGGCUAAUACCCUGGAGUCAUGACGGUACCGUAAGAAUAAGCACCGGCUAACUACGUGCCAGCAGCCGCGGUAAUACGUAGGGUGCAAGCGUUAAUCGGAAUUACUGGGCGUAAAGCGUGCGCAGGCGGUUUUGUAAGACAGUGGUGAAAUCCCCGGGCUCAACCUGGGAACUGCCAUUGUGACUGCAAGGCUGGAGUGCGGCAGAGGGGGAUGGAAUUCCGCGUGUAGCAGUGAAAUGCGUAGAUAUGCGGAGGAACACCGAUGGCGAAGGCAAUCCCCUGGGCCUGCACUGACGCUCAUGCACGAAAGCGUGGGGAGCAAAC
rnacentral:rRNA from 1 species